UACGGAGGAUGCGAGCGUUAUCCGGAUUUAUUGGGUUUAAAGGGUGCGUAGGCGGGUUAUCAAGUCAGCGGUAAAAUCGUGGAGCUCAACUCCAUCCAGCCGCUGAAACUGAUGAUCUUGAGUGGGCGAGAAGUAUGCGGAAUGCGUGGUGUAGCGGUGAAAUGCAUAGAUAUCACGCAGAACUCCGAUUGCGAAGGCAGCAUACCGGCGCCCGACUGACGCUGAAGCACGAAAGCGUGGGUAUCGAACAGG
rnacentral:rRNA from 1 species